rnacentral:lncRNA from 1 species
GCCCGCUUGGACCUAGUGGGGAGAUCGGCGGAGUCGGCGGCCGAACCCACUGGGAACUAAGGAAGUUAGUUCUCACCCCCCAUUUUACUACAGGUUCCAGUUCGGGUGCUCCCGGGGAGCGUGAGGAUCGCGGUAAGGGCCCGGCGUCUUAGUCGCAUUAGCUACCUCCCUUUUGUAUUAGCCGUCACCCUUUUGUACUUGAGAGUAGAUGAUGUAUAGGGUGAGGCGGAGUGAUUGUAUUCCUAUUUUGGAAGAAUGUAAAGAUGUAAUUGAAUGUAUUAAGUCAAAUGAAUGUAAUAGAUAGCCUCUUCUCUCGUUAUGUACUUGUAUAUGUUUCUAUACUUGUAUCUUGCUCUUGGUUGUUGCACUAGUGGUGCUUCUUGAUCGUGUAUUUAUGAAUUGAAUUCCUGGGUAAAUUCUUAUACAUGAUCUGUUGGUUAGCCUUGGACGGACAGGGGAGGUCCUGUCCGUUCGGCGUCUGUUCGACGCGCCCGGGGCCGGACCAAAUUGGUAGCGGUCUCGGGGCGUGACAGAUAAAGUGGUAUCAGAGCACCAGAGCAAGUAAAGAGAGAGUCUAGGAUGACCUAGGAGACCCUAGGUUGGCAAACCCUAAGGUUGUAGGGACGUGAGUGAACGUGAACCCGUGGCGGUGGCGGAAGUUGAUCGAUUGGGUCGAAGUUGAUGUCAUGUCUCUAGCCGUGAAUAGAGACGGAUCCAAGUGAUACUAGUUUCUUGGCUCGUAGUGGUUGUGUCGGCGGCCGACGACAC